UUUUUAUAAGAUUAUUUUUUAAAAAAGUCAAUUCUACAAGGAGCAAAUAAUACUAAUGGUACACAUAAAAACGGAGUGUAAAUCUUAUAUCCAUCACUCAAGGUUUAUAUUGGAUUCUUGUUUUGUCUAUAUAUAUAUAUAUAUAUAUAUAGAGAGAGAGAGAGAGUCCGGUUAUGGUGCUUGUAAAAAUAUCAAGCACUUGGUACUUGUAAGUUUUUUUACCGUUAGAUCUACAUCUUUAAUCAUUUCAACCGUUAGAUUAUACUAUUCAACCAACUACCCACUCAACCCUAAGGGGCCCACAUCAUCCUAACCACACAUACUUUUAGAAGCGGGAACCCCUUGGUGCUUCUAGGUUUCUAACUCUUGGAUCUACUCUUUGAUUAUUAAUAGCCCUUGGAUUAAACACUCUUCCACCUACCACCACCUACCACCAUUAUCCCAACCUUACAUUUUCCAUCCAAUGGCUAAAAACUCAAAAACAUCACCCUCUUGGUGCUUUUGAGAGUGUUUUAGCUCAACUCUCUCUCUCUCUCUCUCUCUAUAUAUAUAUAUACACUUUUUUUAGGUGCACGAGUGAGUUAAUUUUAGCUCGUGUUCGACACGUUUAUUAAAUGAACGAUCGCUUUCGAACUCAUUUCGAAUCGAAUAUGAGCUAGCUUGUGAAUAAUAAGCUGAAUUGUCGGCCCAAAUCAGAAGUGAUAUUUAAAACUUAAAAAGUUAAAGGAUUAAUUUCAUACUGGUUCCUGCAAAUAUAGUGAAUGGCAAAUAUAUUCCUAUAAACUUCAACUUUCAUAUAUUGUCUCUGUAAAAAUUUUGAUGUUUUCAAAUAUAUCCCUGUAUUAGAAUCCAUUGGAAAAAUUUAGUUAACCAUAGGUUGAAUACUUAACCCUGAUUAGUUUUUGACAUUUUUAUCUCUCUUAUAUUAUACUGUUAUGAUUUUUGGAGGGAUAUAUUUGUUAUGACAAAAUUAAAAAUAUAAACAAUUCUCUAACGGUAAUAGAACAUAGAGAUAUAUUUGAAAAUAUUAGAACUUUUGUAGGAACAAUAUAUGAAAGUUGAAUUUUGUAGGGAUAUAUUUAUCAUUUACUAUGUUUACAGGGACCUGUAUGAAAUUAACCUAAAGUUAAAUUUCUAAGCCUUGACACUUUAAAGGAUCCAAAAAAUUUCAACAUUUUUGAAGCUUUCGUUUCUUAUGCUAUAAAAUGAUAGUGGGAGCUACAAACGAUAUAGAUUUUAAUGUGAGAUAUAGGCUUAUAAUAUAAGUAUAAGAAGAGUAAAAUGUUGGCAUAUGCUACUGGGGAUAAACUUAUAAUAAACUUUAGUAUCUUACUUUAUAUAUUUUAUUAUCUAUGUCACAUUUUUAGGGAUUUGGCCCAUGUUUUAAAGUAUUUAUAGUUUCUAGAAACUAAACACAACUAUUUUUCAAAAUUUCUCAAAAAUUUGAAAUUAUAUAUUUACUCGCUUUUUUGACUUUGGAAUGAUUUUUUUUAAUUUUCUUUCUCUCUCUCUCCUCUCCUUUGGUUGAAAACAUUGCAAUUAUCGUUAUUUUUGGGGUAAAAUUUAAAUAUCACCACUGCAGUUUAAUAUUUUUUUUAUUUUAGUAUUUUAUAAUUUAAAAUAUAUCAAUUCAGUAUCUCGUAAUUUUUUUUUUCUUUUCGUCAGUCCUCUGUUAAAUUUUUGUUAAAUCAUAUAAAAAAAAACUUCAGAUACCCUACCUAUAGUUUAUCAAAUAUUUAUUUUAGUAACAUUUAGUUUUAACUUUGUCACUGAUUUAACAAAAAAAAAUUAGUGGAGUGAAUAACAAAAAGAGAAAAAUAAAACCACAGUGUACGAAUGUGACACACUUUAAACCAUAUGGUACUAAAGUGGGAAAAUACGAAACCAUAGGAGUAAUAUUUAAAGUAUUUAUAGUCCCUAAAAACUUAACACCACUAUUUUCAAAAUUUCUCGAAAUUUUGAAAUUAUAUAUAUUUACUCAUUUUUUUGACUUUCUCCUCUUCUUCGGUUGAAAAUGCUGUAAUUAUAAUUAUUUUUAUUUAAUUGUUAAUUAAUAGGUGUAUUUAUAGCUUUAAUUAUGUCCACACAAUUAAGAUGUCAACAGCUCAGAUUCAAAUAAAUUUUUAAAAAUUUAAAAUUGAAUCCACCAAUCAAUAUUGAAAUUUGAAUCCGAACUUAAUGAAUUUUGAAAAUUUAUAUUCAAAGCCGAAGCCAACCAAAAGUUCGAAAUUCGAAAUCGAACCCCAAAGGCCCAAACAACUAUCUCUUUACCACAUUUUAAAAUAUUUAAUAUUAAAAUUUACGAUAAAGCACGAGUGGUAUUUAAAGUGUACCCAAAAUUUUCUCCACCGUACACUCCUCCACCACGUCUAUAUAAACCCUGGUACCAAACCCAAUCGACCAUUCUCCUUCUAUUCCUCUGCGUACCCAAAAAGUACCCCAAAACCCUUCCCUCUUUUCCAUUACAUUACAUUCUCUCAACAGCUCCCCAAACCCCCGCCCCUUCUCUAAGAGAGAGAGAGAGAGAGAGAGAGAGAGAGAUGAGCGCACUGCGCCCCACAUUCCCCCUCGCCGCCCCGAUCGGCGGCGGCGACGGGUUCCGCCGCGGCCGCGCCGGCGCCGCCGCGGCGGCGUCGUCGGCGUCGGCGGCGGCGUCGUCGGCGUCGGCGUCGGCGGGGGUGGGGGUGAGCUUGUACGAGGUGUUGGGGGUGGCGGAGGGGGAGGGGAGGGCGGAGGAGAUAAAGAGGGCGUACCGGCGCAUGGCGCGGCGACUCCACCCGGACGCGGCGGCGUCGCCCCCCGGCCGCGCCACCGCCGAGCAGGCGCGCCGCUUCAUCGCCGUUCGCGAGGCCUACGACACCCUCUCCGACCCCCACCGCCGCGCCCUCUACGACCGCUCCCUCGCCUCCUCGCCCUCCGCCUCUCAUCAGGUCGUUUAUUAGGGUUUCUUCUCCUUCUUCUUCUUCUUCUUCUUCUUUUCUUAGUAAUAAAUCUCUCUUCCGCAUUACCAUACUUAUUUGAGAUAAAUAUCCACUUUUUUAUUUUUUGCGUAAGAUUUUUUUUUCUACAAACACAGUAAAUUAUAAAUAUAUUCCUAAAAAAUUCAACUUUUAUAUAUUGUUCUUAUAAAAGUCCUAAUGUUUUCAAAUAUGUCCCUCUGAUUUAUUCCUGUUAAAACACUUUUUUUUAAUAAGUGCAAUGAUAUUUUUGGCAUCAUAAAUAUGUUUUUCCAAAAGUCUCAAUUAUUAAUUAAAGAGGGGUAAAAAGGUUAAUUCACCUCAUUAACUAAUUAGAAUUAAGUAUUUUAUCUAUGGUUAAUUAAUUUUUUCUAACGAAUCCUAAUGGCAAAGACGUAUUUGAAAAUAUCAGGACUUUUAUAGGAACAACAUAUGAAAACCGAAUUUUGUAGGGAUAUAUUUGUAAUUCACUAUAUCUGUAGGGAACUGUAUAAAAUUAACCCUUUUAAAAAAGUUUAUAUUUUAGAGUUUUAAAAUUUUAGAAAUGUUCUCAAGGGUUACGGGGAUCAAAUUGCAGUUACUUAUUCUAUUAGAAAAAAAGUAGUUUUUAAUGUUUUUCUAUAAUUCUUAAGUAAAGAAGUAGAUGAAAUAGGGAAUUAUUUGUAUCAAUUUGAAAUCUUGAGAGAGUAGAAUAAAAAGGGAAAGUGAAAAAGAUUUUCUUAUCUUAGCCUUUGUUUUUUUUUUUCAUUUGUUUUAGUCUGGUUAAAAUGUAUGAACACUCCUUGAACUUUAACCUAUUUUGCAAUUGACCCUCCAAAAUUUCAUUGCUCUUCUUAUUGGAAAAAGCUAUCCACACAUCCCUUUAGGGCCAUCCAAUGGAUGGGAUUUGCUUACUUAUUAUAUGAUGUGAUUAGUAAAAUAACUCUACCCAUUAGAUAGGUGAGGUGUAUGAUAUACGCUAUCUUUGGUUGGAGUGUAUCAGUAUCAUUGUUAUUUUUUAUUUUAUUUACACCCGCUCAACUUAUAAAUCAUUUGAUUUAGGUCCCAUCAUUUAUAACUUUGGAAAUUCUGUUAGAAUCAAACACCCACAAAGGAAAGAACGAUGUUUAAUAUUAUAUAUUCAAGAGUCCAACUCGGGUGCUUUUAGGAGUUUCGAUGAUGGGAUUUUAAAUCGAAGAUUCGUUCACUUAUAUUUGAUUUAGAGAAUUUAAAAUAUCUAGAAUACACAUAUCGUGAUUUUUCAAUAUCAUUUACCAAGUGAUCUAGAAAGCCCAAAAUCAACAAUUUUAAUGGUCAAUAUAUGAGCCGUUUACAAGUUUAAUGAUGUAGAAAUAUCGAAAUCGGAUGAAAUUUUGAUAGAAAAUCAUCAAACAAUAUUAAUAUUUUUGAUCUAAAAUUUGAGUGUUGUAUCAUCACUUUUUACAAGACUUUUAUAUUCAACCGUUGAUUUUCAGUCUUUUUGAUCACUAGAUAAAUGAUAUUUAAAAAAACCGCAAAAUUUAUUUUCUAGAUACUUUUAAAUAAUUUAGAUAAAGUCUAAUGGAACUAAUCGUCGAUUCGAAAGUCUUAUCAUUGGAAAUAAUUUGAAAGCACGGAGGCUUCUGUGCUUCUAAAAGAAGUUCAACUCGUAUAUUCAAAACUCCACAUCUUGUUUUUCCAACUUGAUGUUAGAGUUCGUGUACAAAUUAGAGUCUUUUAUGUUAUCUUCUUCAUUAAUUUUAUAUGUGGAUUAGUCAUAAAUUCCGUGGCUUUCAAGAUGUUUUCUGCUGCAGCUUUUUUGUAAUGAAGUUUAAUUUCCUUGAAAUAUUUUAAAAACAGUUUGAGGUUAUCUUUUCCUUGACUCUGUGAUACCAUAAAUGAGUGGACUAUUAAACAGGUUCAAAGUUAUUGCCUGCACCUGGUGUAUAGAUUGCUCGUGCACCGCUAGCUUUGUUCAAUUAUAGGUCAUUUAAAUAUCCAACAAAAACCAUUGGAUAAUCGAUAGAUAUAAUCUGAACAUCUAAAGGACCUAGCAAAUCAAAAUCAUAAGCUUUGGAACCAAUGUUGCAAAAAGGGGUAUUGUGCGGUAGGUGAGAAAUAGUUGCCUAAAACUUAUGAUUUUUAGUUUCUAGCUCUUUCGAAUGUCGUAAAAACACAUAUAAUAGAUUUGGUUACUCUUUUGAGACAUUUACGGUUCGCUUCUAUCUUUGUAAACCAUCCAGAGCAUAAACUUGUGCAGUAAUCUCUCUUGUAUUUGAUUGUUUAUUUCCUCUUCAAACUUCAGAAGCUAAAUAUAACUUACUCUAAAUAAAUUACUCAGUUCGUAUACAGUCUCUUCUGUUUUUUUUUUUUUUUUUUUUUUUUUUUUUUUCAUAUAUGAUUGUUCUGUUCCUUUCAAAACUUCUAUUUAUUUAUUUAUUUUGGUUUGGCAAAUUUAAGCAUAUGAAGUUAAUGUGUGUCAUUCAAGACAACUUUUCUGCUUCUAUUGUAGAAAAAAAAACUGGUUAGUUUCAUUUUGUUACCCUCUUGAAGAUUCCAACUUCUCUACAAAUAGUCGGGAUUGAAUUCGAAGAUUUUGAGGAAAUGUACCGUUUCGCAUUUUGAGUUAUGAGUUUGGAUCUUUUCCUUAUUGCACUGCAAUAUUUGCACCUAUUCCUCAUACCUAUCUUUAUAGACAUAAAAAGCUCUAUUUCUUGCGCUCUCACCCUUGAUUCUAUUAUCCAUCAUAUUUUUCUUUUCUUUUUUUUCUCCAUUAGUUAUACUUGAGUUGCGAUAGUAUAAUUAAUCCUUUUAUGUGCUAACUCUUUACUUGUUUAAAAUUAGGAAUUGGACGAACGAUCGCAUUGGAGGAAGCAUUGGCAAGAUCAGAUCGCGGAGUUAUGUUGGAGGAGCAUCGACAAGGAUUCAGAGGAUAACUUAUCUUGGGGAGCUCGAAUGCGACGGAAAUGGGGUGAAUCAUUGAACUGAAUAGGUAAAAUUUUUCAGAGUCAUGAAAAUAAUGGUUUUUUAGUCGAAAUAUUCGGUCAUCUAUUUGUUUUUGUAGAUUUGAUGGAGUUGUGUUCCAUCAUUGUUUUGUUGUAUAUAAAAGAUUAUUGAGUAACUCAGAAACUUUCAUAUAUCUCGAGGAAUCUUGGAAUGUACCAUCUCUUCUUUUUUAUGUAUGUGUUAGGUUUUUGUGUUUAUGACGAUAUAUAUAUAUAUAGAGAGAGAGAGAGAGAGAGAGAGCGAUAGAGAGAAGUGUUACUGUACUAUUAUGAGUAUAGAAGUUUUUGUACUCAUAACUCAUGAGUUGUUUUCGAUGAUGGAUCAUCUGGAUCAACGAUCUAUAACAUUAAAUAUGAUUUAGAGUAUUUGAAGUAUAUAGAAAUCAAAUUUUAUAAUUUUCGAAUUUAUAAUAAAUUUCAUAAUGUGGGUAUAAUAUAAACGAUCAAAAUCGAAUGAUCUCUUAAACAUAAAGGAUAAUGUUUUUAAAUCCAAGAUCGAAAUUAUUUAUCUUGAGCUAUACAGUGAAUAGAAUUUUUUAUUAAAAAUUUAACCGAUUUCGUUUGUUCUAUACCGUUAAUUCGGAAAUGCUCCACAUUGGUUGUUAAUAAAAAUGUUAAUUUUGAGGCCUUGUGAUCGUAAGAUAUAUGAUGUCUUCUUAUAUGAUGUUAAAAAAUUAUAAAAUUUAAUUUCUAGAAUAUUUAAAUAAUUUAAAUUAUAUUUAACGAUAUAGAACGUCAAUUCGAAAGCUUUAUUAUUGAAAAUAACUUAUGAUUACAAAAACAAUUAUACUCAUAAUAGUAUAAUAGUUGGUCUCUCUCUCUCUCUCUCUAAAAGCUUAAGUUGAUAGGUGGAGGUGCUCUUAUAUGUUAUAUACUUGACGGUCUUUAUUUCUAUCUAAUUCUCCUACUUAGUCGCAGAAGAAUGAUUGAGAUGGAUAUAUUAAAUUGACUAAAAAAAUUUAGGAGCGCAAAUCGCAAAAAUAGAAGCUUAGAAAGUUGUUAGAAAUAGAACAGGUCCAACUAAAUAUGUGUAAUUUUGCACAUAACUCUCUAAUGAGGAGGGACACCACAACAAUAACUACCGAAUAAUCUAAGCAUCGAAUUUCUUAUGCAGUUUUUUUAUUCUAAAUUAUGCAACAAUUCAUGAAAUAACGCUUUUUAGAAUGCUUUUUCAUAAACUGCAGUAAGUAUAUACUCAGUUAGUUCUUGAUUGAAUGAGCUAUUACCCCAAACUUACAUUUCACACAACUCUACUGCAAUCUGCAGGUGCGAAGGAUAAUAGUUUCUCCUUGAUAUUGUAGGAGAAAUGGUAAUUGAAUUGAUUAUGUUCUCCGAGAAUGCUCGCCUCCGGAAAACUCCUUAUAGCGACGCAGAGUUUAUUCACACCUAGUUUCACCACCACAUUGUUUGGCGGCACCGGGUAAUCGACACCGCCGCUAAAGUGGAGCGUCAUGCUCGGUAACGUCUCCUUAAACCCCUCAUGUGGCAACACAUAACAAACCUCAAAUAGUUCACUAUUCGUUGGUCGCAAUUUAAAUGGCUCGAAAUAUGCCUUGAAUGUUUCGAUGAUUCGCUCAUACGGUCCUCCUGACAUGAAUGCGGUGAAUGAUGUGCCUGAGUCGAUAAUAAAACCCCCUCUCACGUUUCCGUGAUCGUUUUUGUGAAUGGCAAAGUCCUUGGACUUGAAUCCGAGGCGGUGGCCCGCAACACUCACAUUGGAUAGGGGCAGAAAGUAUGUUAUCAAAGUCGGCGCAUGGAUAAUACGAAUGGUUCUCACUUGAGGGCCUCUGAGAAUAGCUUCGUCGCCGAACUUGAGCCGACUCAACGGUUGCUUAUUGCUCUUGAACGGCGGCAGGCAGUAUGAGAACCUACCGCCGAUCAAUUCCAACAGCUGCCUAGCUAGUGAUAGCGGCUCCAUAUUGAGGCCGAAUACUCCAGACUGCUCCUUCGUCAUCGCAGGAUCUCGAUUGUCAUUUGCACAACCGAAGAUGAAAUUACGUACAAACUCUUUUUGGUGUCUAUCGGACGCGAAGCCCAAUGUUUCAAAGGCGAGGAUGCCUUUCGAUGAAGAGCCAUCGCCAUAUCCUAUCGAGUAGUGGCAGUGGCCUUUGACGCAUUUCCACCCCGGUCGGCCCAGAUCGCACAACGUAUGGUUGCAUCGUAUCGGGUCGAAGGAGCUCGACUCUUUGACCGGGUGGAAGAUCGGUUUGCUCUGUUUCCAGCAGCGGAUGCAUGGCUUGCAUUGCAUCCACAAGAUGUCGCUGGCGGUGUCCAUCACUAGGUAGUUCUUCCGCCUGGUGGGCGUGCCGAUGUAGAUCUCUACCAUGUAGUUGAAGGGAUCACCUUUGAGAUUAGGGCGAAUGUGCUCUAUACCAUGAUCGACGCCGAGAAGGGAUGUUCUCAAGAGCUGUGCACGGGCGACGUCGCUCGCGUAAAGGCGUCGCACUCUCUCAUAUUCGGUGAGGUUACCGGGAAAAAGGGGAAAGCGGAUGGAGUACUUGUGGAUCAAGUUCAGGUGUAAGGAGCGAACGGCGACUAACUCAAGGAACAAGAAUAGAAAACCAACAUGCCAUUCAUGUGCCAUUUCCUACUCUCCCUUGAUAGAAACUCCAAUCACAACAAUUUUUAGUUGCUUUUAA
rnacentral:lncRNA from 1 species